GCUGCCGCCCGGAGCAGGCACGGCGGGCUAGGCUCCGGAGCAGCCCCCUCCCGUCCCGCCCUGCCGGCCUUGGCCGCGGAGGAGAGGGAAAGGUAGUAUCAUUGCAACAGCAGGAAUGAGGCUGUGAGGAAGGACUGAAACACACAAAAGUAGACUCAAGGUGGAAGAGGAGGCAGCACUAUAAAGGAGAGGUGAGAAGAGGCAGCAGCUUGGAAAGAGGAUGAUAUGAGGGACUUCUUGAAAAACUAAUCUGCUGGGAAUAGCACAAAGGAGGAAGAGAAAAGAAAGUUGCCCAUCUCUGAGGAAUUAUACAGUUAUGUUGCCUGUUCCCAUUCUUGGAAUAAACUGAAAAAAUCUGAGCAUGAAUAUGGGCUAUCUUCUGCUUUGCACCUGAGGAGGCUGUCGUCCCAGAGGGGUGAGCAAGCUGCCAGGUUUCAUCCAUCUUCUGCCUGCCCCUUAAGCCAAAGAGCUUCUAUCUCUGAGAGGAAAGGCCCUCUAGGAUAAGGCUGAUGGGAACUACUGAAAGCACUUCUGGAUCUAAUAUAUCAGUCCUUCUCACGAAUGGGGAAAGGAAAUGUCUGCUCUGUAACUUUGAACUGUCUAGCUUUUCAAUAAAUGUGAGAUAGCUUUAAAUAGACAUAUCAAAAACAGUUACAGUUUGUCAUUAUAGUGGGUCCUGUGGUUGGUUUUGUUGUUUUACCUAAAGCCACUGUCUAUGGAGUCAUGUGUCUAAGCCAUGUGAUGAUGAAAGAUUCUGCUCUAGGCAAGCAAGUUUUUGUCCUUCCUCUUGACAAAGAAUUGCUUACAUUUGUGAAUCCUAAAGCCUUAGAAAACCAGGGAAGUACAGAAGAUGCAUUUCUGUUAUGUGAUACAGAUACCCCUUGAUACAAAACCCUCCAUCUCUGUUACUCGCAAUGCUUUGAAGGUUCAGUAACUUUUGCAUCUGUUAACUUUGCUACUGGAAUAGCUUUUUAUAAUCACUCAAUACACAGAACUAAAGCAAACAUGUUAAAAUGUCUGUAGGAUUGUAACCAAAGCACAUUUAGACAUCUUCUGAUACAUGGCUACUGAUUGGGUUGGGUAGCUGUAUUCCAAACAGUGUUCCACAAGCAGAUUAAUAUUUCAAAGGACGUCAUUAGUAUUCUUCUCCAAAAUCUGGAGAUUUCCGGAACUCAGAAGACAUCUUUAUCACUUUAGCACUCUGUACCCAAAAAUAACUAUAAAGAGACAGAGCUUUGUUCCCCCAAGAACAUUUAUUUCUGAUACAAUUAAGGAAAAAUACCUUUUUUCUCUUACCUUAGGUAAGUGAAUUAAUUGCAUUAAUUCAUUGGGAUGCACACUGCUAGGAUUGGACUAGUUACACAGAAGCAUUUUGUCUAGAGAAAGUUCAAUUGUGGAAUGAAUUGGAAGGAAUCUAGAACGAAUUGGAUUACUGCACGGGAGCUAGAGAAAGCAAAAUUACAUCUAUUUCCACAGAACAUUUUCUUUUUUUUUACUUUGUAGUUAACAUUCUCAUCAUGUAUGUAAAGUUCACAGCUGCUGAUUAAAGAUUGCAAAAGGGAUGUGGAAAAAAAAAUCUUUUAAAACAUACAGAAUGAAAUAGUUUGAGUGGCACUUUGUGAUUUGUUUUCCAAUUAGGAAUGACAUUUAAUUUUAAGAUUUGAGCUGUUUUUAAGAUAACAUUUUGUUGGUUCAGGUGCAUAUGCCUACUACUGUGAUUACUGACUGUAAUUUACAGGAUUUUAGGCACAGAAUAGGCCAUAUGCUCCCUUGUAUCUUUUUCCAAUAGUCUCAGUUUUAAUGUGUAAGACUGUGCUUACGGUUGCGAGUGACAGAACCCCAAAUUUAUUUUUGGUUCCAGUUUUUAUGUAUUUCUAGAUUAUUAAUGAAGCUGUAGGUUUUAGAUCUUCACUGACUUCACAAGUAUUUGGGAUGGGCCUUUCUCUUCAAGAAGAACAAAGGAAAACACAUCUUGUUACGCAGAUCAUAAUCUGUCCUAAGGUCAGUUUUGAGGUGUGCAGACAUCAGCAUGGAUUUGACAGUUUUUGCAUUAAAAUCCAGUGGUCAAACUAA